rnacentral:rRNA from 1 species
AACGAACGCUGGCGGCAUGCCUAACACAUGCAAGUCGAACGAGACCUUCGGGUCUGGUGGCGCACGGGUGCGUAACGCGGGGGAACCUGCCCUUAGGUUCGGAAUAACUCCCCGGAAGGGGUGCUAAUACCGGAUAAUGUCUUCGGACCAAAGAUUUAUCGCCUUUGGAUGGGCCCGCGUUGGAUUAGCUAGUUGGUAGGGUAAAAGCCUACCAAGGCGACGAUCCAUAGCUGGUCUGAGAGGCUGAUCAGCCACACUGGGACUGAGACACGGCCCAGACUCCUACGGGAGGCAGCAGUGGGGAAUAUUGGACAAUGGGCGAAAGCCUGAUCCAGCAAGGCCGCGUGAGUGAUGAAGGCCUGAGGGUUGUAAAGCUCUUUUACCCGGGAUGAUAAUGACAGUACCGGGAGAAUAAGCUCCGGCAAACUCCGUG